GAUGAACGCUGGCGGCGUGCCUAAUACAUGCAAGUCGAGCGAACGGACGAGAAGCUUGCUUCUCUGAUGUUAGCGGCGGACGGGUGAGUAACACGUGGAUUACCUACCUAUAAGACUUGGAUAACUUCGGGAAACCGUAGCUAAUACCGGAUAAUAUUUUUAACCUCAUGGUUCAAAAGUUUUAUACGUUCUUGCUGUCACUUCUAGAUGUAUCCGCGCUGCAUGAGCUAUUUGGUAAGGUAACGGCUUCCCAAGGCCACGAUGCAUAGCCGACCUGGGAAGGUGAACGGGCACACUGGGGCUGAGACACGAUCCAGAGUCCGACGGGAGGCAGAAACAGGGAAGGUACCGAAAAGGGCGAAAGACUGAAGGAGCAACGCAGGGUGAGUGAUGAAGGGCUGCGGAUCGGAAAACUCUGUUAUUAGGGAAGAACAUAUGUGUAAGUAACUGUGCACAUCGUGACGGUACCUAAUCAGAAAGCCACGGCUAACUACGUG
rnacentral:rRNA from 1 species